UACGGAGGGGGCUAGCGUUGUUCGGAAUUACUGGGCGUAAAGCGCACGUAGGCGGCUUUGCAAGUUAGAGGUGAAAGCCCGGGGCUCAACUCCGGAAUUGCCUUUAAAACUGCAUCGCUAGAAUUGUGGAGAGGUAAGUGGAAUUCCGGAGUGUAGAGGUGAAAUUCGUAGAUAUUCGGAAGAACACCAGUGGCGAAGGCGACUUACUGGACACAUAUUGACGCUGAGGUGCGAAAGCGUGGGGAGCAACAGG
rnacentral:rRNA from 1 species